CGUGUCGACGGACUGACGCAGGCUGCCACGGAGGACGGCCAGGGACUUCGCAGGAUGGCGAAUCAUCAGGACGAUGAGCCAGGAAAAAAGGGAAAGGGAUUGGAAAGAGUAGGCGAGGCUAUCCUCGCCUCUUUUUU
rfam:Pseudomonadales bacterium GWC1_66_9 gwc1_scaffold_5029, whole genome shotgun sequence.